CACACACACACACACACACACAUAUAUAUAUAUGUGUGUGUGUGUAUGUAUAAUGUGGAAAUGGCUGCUCACUAACGCACAUGCAGCACAGCCUAUCAUUAGGGUUUGCCCGGGCUCCCUGGAUGCUCAAGCAUGACACCUGUGUUCUGCCUCUAAUAACUGCUGAAAACUCAAAGACAAGAGGCUACUAAAUCAGCCUCCCUGGGAUCAAUAAGAGAAGGAACUCUAGGGAUGUUGGUAAAGCUUCCUAAGGAUGAUGCCAAAAGGGAACCAGGGUCUCCAUGGUGAUGAGAGGCUGGGGACCAAUGGGAGCCAAAGGCGGAGCAGAAUGUGUGGGGAAGCCUCAUGGGAGUUAGGAAUCCUUUAACUGUUUCUUUGCUUCUUGAAGAUUUAGACACCAGCUGCAACUGCAUUGCACAGGAUGUAUAGUUCAUAUCAUUCUUGCUGACAUAUUCUGGAAGCUUUCAGCCCCACCAACACUGCCCCACCCAGGACUUCUACAGCUGAGAGUUCCUGUGUCAGUAGAGUAUGAUAUUUGUACAUAGGCUAUACAUAUAUGUGUACAUAUGUGCCUCCAGGAAUAUUGCCUGUCCACCAGUCAUGGGUGUACAUAAAUUUCCUAGGGCUCCACUGUCUUGUAAAUAAACCCACACAAGUAAAUAAGUAUAUAAAUAUAUAUUCCUGAGGAAUUAUUUUAACAUCAUUCUGUGUGAAAUGAAAACCAAAAAAAGAAAAUAAAACUUUUUGAGACUCUGA